UACAGAGGGGGCAAGCGUUGUUCGGAAUUACUGGGCGUAAAGGGCGCGUAGGCGGCCUUCUAAGUCGAACGUGAAAUCCCCGGGCUCAACCCGGGAACUGCGUCCGAUACUGGAAGGCUUGAAUCCGGGAGAGGGAUGCGGAACUUCCCAGGUGUAGCGGUGAAAUGCGUAGAUAUUGGGAGGAACACCAGUGGCGAAGGCGGGUCUCUGGGCCGAUACUGACGCUGAGGAGCGAAAGCGUGGGGAGCGAACAGG
rnacentral:rRNA from 1 species